rnacentral:tRNA from 1 species
AGACAACAAAAUGUUUAAUAUUAUUAUUUUGUCACCUUAGGUCGAUCGGUAUCUCACGUUUUUAAUUUAUUAAAAAUUUCAUUUCCUAAGUUUUUCUAGGUCACACCCAUUAUUUUUCCUGGGCCAUUAGCUCAGGUGGUUAGAGCGCACCCCUGAUAAGGGUGAGGUCCCUGGUUCAAGUCCAGGAUGGCCCAUAUCUCUAUGUUGGGGGUAUAGCUCAGUUGGUAGAGCGCCUGCUUUGCAAGCAGGAUGUCAGCGGUUCGAGUCCGCUUACCUCCACUGAUUACCACCUCUUCCAUACCGGUAGAAAGGAAAUGUUUUGAGUUGUGAUCAAAUCCUGAAAGAAUCUAGCUUCCUAAUGAAAUCAUUAAGAUGCUGGACUCAUUGAAUUAAUUUUCAUUGUUUUCAGAGAACCUUGACAACUGCAUAGAUUAUUUUUAAAGACAAUAAGCAUCUUUAAUGAUGCAGAUUUAUUAUUUGUGCGAAUGCAUUAAUAACAAUUCUAUUAAGCUGAUGCUUCAAUUUUUGAAGUUAUU